rnacentral:tRNA from 1 species
AACAUGUUAACUCAAUUGGUAGAGUGUUGUGCUACGGACGCAAUAGUUAUAAGUUCAAAUCUUAUACAUGUUU